AUACUUGAUCAGGUUGAAGUCAGGGGAAACCCUGAUGGAAGACCGAAACAGUUCUGACGUGCAAAUCGAUUGUCAGAAUUGAGUAUAGGGGCGAAAGACCAAUCGAACCAUCUAGUAGCUGGUUCCUUCCGAAGUUUCCCUCAGGAUAGCUGGUGCAUUUUAAUAUUAUAUAAAAUAAUCUUAUCUGGUAAAGCGAAUGAUUAGAGGCCUUAGGGUCGAAACGAUCUUAACCUAUUCUCAAACUUUAAAUGGGUAAGAACCUUAACUUUCUUGAUAUGAAGUUCAAGGUUAUGAUAUAAUGUGCCCAGUGGGCCACUUUUGGUAAGCAGAACUGGCGCUGUGGGAUGAACCAAACGUAAUGUUACGGUGCCCAAAUUAACAACUCAUGCAGAUACCAUGAAAGGCGUUGGUUGCUUAAAACAGCAGGACGGUGAUCAUGGAAGUCGAAAUCCGCUAAGGAGUGUGUAACAACUCACCUGCCGAAGCAACUAGCCCUUAAAAUGGAUGGCGCUUAAGUUGUAUACCUAUACAUUACCGCUAAAGUAGAUGAUUUAUAUUACUUGUGAUAUAAAUUUUGAAACUUUAGUGAGUAGGAAGGUACAAUGGUAUGCGUAGAAGUGUUUGGCGUAAGCCUGCAUGGAGCUGCCAUUGGUACAGAUCUUGGUGGUAGUAGCAAAUAAUCGAAUGAGACCUUGGAGGACUGAAGUGGAGAAGGGUUUCGUGUGAACAGUGGUUGAUCACGAGUUAGUCGGUCCUAAGUUCAAGGCGAAAGCCGAAAAUUUUCAAGUAAAACAAAAAUGCCUAACUAUAUAAACAAAGCGAAAAUAAUACACUUGAAUAAAUUUUGAACGAAAGGGGAAUACGGGUUCCAUUUCGGUACCCGGUUGAGUAUCCGUUUUGUAUUAAAUAUGGGGCCUCGUGCCCCUCCCGGGAACAAGGAACCACCAUAAAAAAACCGUUCCAAAAAAAUUCGAAAAAAUUUUUUUUUU
rnacentral:ncRNA from 1 species